AUAGAUGCUAGGAUAUUAAAAGUUAUGUUCUUUAAAUUUAAAAAAUUUGGCGGUGUUUUAGUCUGGUUAGAGGAACCUGUAUUAUAAGCGACACUACACGUAUUAUUCCACUUGUUUUUGUAAGUCAGUUUGUAUACCGUCAUUAUAAGAUAAUUUGGGAGAGAGUAUUAUUGGAAUCAUAUUGUUGAGUAUAUUAGAUCAAGGUGCAGCUUAUAGAUAAGCAAAUAUGGGUUACAAUAAAAUUUAUUUAGUAUGGAUUAAGUAUUCAAAUAUGCUUAUGAA
rnacentral:rRNA from 1 species